rnacentral:rRNA from 1 species
AGUGAACGCUGGCGGCGUGCUUAACACAUGCAAGUCGAACGCGCAGCGAGAGGUGCUUGCACCUUUCAAGCGAGUGGCGAACGGGUGAGCAACACGUGGAUAACCUGCCUCAAGGCUGGGGAUAACAUUUGGAAACAGAUGCUAAUACCGAAUAAAACUUAGUAUCGCAUGAUAUCAAGUUAAAAGGCGCUACGGCGUCACCUAGAGAUGGAUCCGCGGUGCAUUAGUUAGUUGGUGGGGUAAAGGCUUACCAAGACGAUGAUGCAUAGCCGAGUUGAGAGACUGAUCGGCCACAUUGGGACUGAGAAACGGCCCAAACUCCUACGGGAGGCUGCAGUAGGGAAUCUUCCACAAUGGGCGCAAGCCUGAUGGAGCAACGCCGCGUGUGUGAUGAAGGCUUUCGGGUCGUAAAGCACUGUUGUAUGGGAAGAAAUGCUAAAAUAGGGAAUGAUUUUAGUUUGACGGUACCAUACCAGAAAGGGACGGCUAAAUACGUGCCAGCCGCCGCAGUAA